AGCUCAGAUGGUAGAGCAACGAAUCACUUUUCGCUUUUGGCAAAAAAAGUUCCUAAAUAAGUGUGUCACAGGUUCGAGUCCUGUCUGCGUCU
rnacentral:tRNA from 1 species